rnacentral:misc_RNA from 1 species
GUGAAUCUAGGGUGUCCAAUUUAACUUGGAGCCCGAACUCUCACUUUCUAACCCUGUGCAUCUGUUAUUGGUUAGUAGCUCUUCGGAGUGAACUCCAUUCACUUACAAACACAAAGUCUAUGAAUGUAUACAAAAUUAUAACAAAACA